rnacentral:rRNA from 1 species
GUCUACCACCGUGCCACCCUGAGCAAGCCCGAUUCCGUCUGAUCUCGCAAGGUAAGCAGAGUUGGACCUGGUUAGUACUUGGAUGGGAGACCACCUAGGAAGACCAGGUGCUGUAGGUG